rnacentral:rRNA from 1 species
CAACUCUUAGCGGUGGAUCACUCGGCUCGUGUGUCCAUGAAGGAGCAGCUAGCUGCGAGAACUAAUGUGAAUUGCAGGACACAUUGAUCAUCGACACUUUGAACGGACUUUGCGGCCCCAGGCUCCUCCCGUGGCCACGCCUGUCUGAGGGUCGCU